GACGAACGCUGGCGGCGUGCUUAACACAUGCAAGUCGAACGGAAAGGCCCUGCUUUUGUGGGGUGCUCGAGUGGCGAACGGGUGAGUAACACGUGAGUAACCUGCCCUUGACUUUGGGAUAACUUCAGGAAACUGGGGCUAAUACCGGAUAGGAGCUCCUGCUGCAUGGUGGGGGUUGGAAAGUUUCGGCGGUUGGGGAUGGACUCGCGGCUUAUCAGCUUGUUGGUGGGGUAGUGGCUUACCAAGGCUUUGACGGGUAGCCGGCCUGAGAGGGUGACCGGCCACAUUGGGACUGAGAUACGGCCCAGACUCCUACGGGAGGCAGCAGUGGGGAAUAUUGCAAAAUGGGCGGAAGCCUGAAGCAGCAACGCCGCGUGCGGGAUGACGGCCUUCGGGUUGUAAACCGCUUUCGCCUGUGACGAAGCGUGAGUGACGGUAAUGGGUAAAGAAGCACCGGCUAACUACGUG
rnacentral:rRNA from 1 species